UGGGGAAUCUUGGACAAUGGGGGCAACCCUGAUCCAGCCAUGCCGCGUGAGUGAUGAAGGCCUUAGGGUCGUAAAGCUCUUUCGCCUGUGAAGAUAAUGACGGUAGCAGGUAAAGAAACCCCGGCUAACUCCGUGCCAGCAGCCGCGGUAAUACGGAGGGGGCGAGCGUUGUUCGGAAUUACUGGGCGUAAAGCGCACGUAGGCGGACCAGAAAGUUGGGGUGAAAUCCCGGGGCUCAACCCCGGAACUGCCUCCAAAACUAUUGGUCUAGAGUUCGAGAGAGGUGAGUGGAAUUCCAAGUGUAGAGGUGAAAUUCGUAGAUAUUAGGUGGAACACCAGUGGCGAAGGCGCCUAACUGGUCCGGUACUGACGCUGAGGAACGAAAGCGUGGGGAAGCAAACAGGAUUAGAUACCCUGGUAGUCCACGCCGUAAACGAUGAGUGCCAGUCGUCGGGUAGCAUGCUAUUCGGUGACACACCUAA
rnacentral:rRNA from 1 species